AGACCACCCACGUCCCUGAGGCAAAUUAAAAACGAGGAGUCAGACACAUGGCCCUGGGAAACCGAAGGAACGGUUCCUGGGUCUUACUUACCCCACGACCACUUCAUGGCCCUUCUGCAGACCCAGACCUUCCACCCUGAAGACCACGUCCUUCAGCGUCCUCGGCAGAGGUGAGGAAAGCCCACCAUGAUGUUGAGGUCGGGUGUCCGGAGCCUGAAGGUGGUUUGGUUGGCCAAAACCUGUUUGGUCUCGUUGACUCUUCCUGACAAAGUCAGCAUCAGCGCCGCCUGGUCCACCAGCUGGUUCUGGUAUUGUUGGGAGCCGGUGGUGACCGUCAGCCCGUGAAGACCAAUCACAGCAUCGGCCGGAGAGUGGACGGACAGCUUGACCUUGUUGCCGUCUUGCUCUGCGAUCCGGGCACCCCAGCGUUUAUCUUCCAGGUGGUCCACCAGGGGGACGAUGACGUGGGUGCCCUUGGACACCAUGGGCAGUGGACCUGGCAUGCACAAGUUACACAGAUAAAACGACGAGAGCAGACCCGACAAAGCAACCAAGAGAGCGUGACCAGAGACGGGAGCCGACCCAACAAAGCAACCAAGAGAGCAUGGCCAGAGACAGGAGCAGACCCAACAAAGCAACCAAGAGAGCAUGGCCAGAAACAGGAGCCGACCCAACAAAGCAACCAAGAGAGCAUGACCGGAGACAGGAGCAGACCCAACAAAGUAACCAAGAGAGCAUGGCCAGAGACGGGAGCAGACCCGACAAAGCAACCAAGAGAGCUUGACCAGAGACGGGAGCAGACUCAACAAAGCAACCAAGAGAGCAUGGCCAGAGACAGGAGCAGACCCGACAAAGCAACCAAGAGAGCAUGACCGGAGACAGGAGCAGACCCAACAAAGCAACCAAGAGAGCGUGACCAGAGACGGGAGCAGACCCAACAAAGCAACCAAGAGAACAUGGCCAGAGUCAGGAGCAGACCCAAUAAAGCAAACAAGAGAGCAUGGCCAGAGACAGAAGCAGAGAGCGUGGCCAGAGACAGGAGCAGACCCAACAAAGCAACCGAGAGAGCAUGGCCAGAGACGGGAGCAGACCCAACAAAGCAACCAAGAGAGCCGACUCCACCCUCGGCCGCCCACCGACUCUCGGCCAGUGUCCAGUCCGCCUGGAUGAGCGAGGAUGCGUCCAAGGAGACCGAUACACGCUCAAACACAUCCCAGACCUUCACUCGAUUGGCUUGGAAUGCUCUGAGUCAACACGCCGCCAAACUAUGAGGAAUUGACACAGGUGCCUCCAUGAUGGCUAACCAAGCCCUAAAAUCUAUAACGAGAUAACAGCCUGCACAUUGGGACAAAAGUGAAAUACUAACAGGAAGGAAAACAAAUAUCCCUUCUGUCUGAGACUAGGAUUUAUUGGAUGCCAUUAGGCUGCUUCGUUUCUGGCACCCUGCUGGGCUUCUUAACUGUCCUCAGCUUCCGUGAUAGCUCUUAUCGGACCGUGUAUUGUUCUCUGAGAGCCGCCACCCUUCCUUUCUCGUCGCCAGGCCCGGCCCUAACCAAUCUGGCGCCCUAGGCAAGAUUUUAGGUGGCGCCCCCCCCCCACAUCGGCAGUGAAGUGUAUAUACUCACAAGAAACCGAAUAGCUUUGUCUUUGACCUUUUUUUUUUACUUAAAGAAAGCAAAUUAACAAUCAGAAUAGUUAACAAGAUAAAAAAAAAAAAAAAGAAUAAAUAAAUGAAUACAAAAAAUAAAAAAUGAAUAUAUAAAAUACAAUAUUUUUUACAUACAUAAACACAAAAUAAAACGUGUCAACAAGUUGCAUAAAAUAAAUUAAAAAUACAAUAUAAAUAAGGCACUGCACAAAACAAGAUAUCAAACCAGUAUGACUUUAACAACUAUAUUACAAAAAAGGGGAUCCUACAGAGUUCUCUAUUUGUGCUUUUUAAUAGAGAUUUUCAGAGCAACCCACAUGUUGGGGUACAUUUCUGCCAGCUUCUUCUCAUGCAGGAAGGUCAAGAGUUCCAUGUUUGUCAUGUUCUUUGAUGGCAAUGGUGGGAAAUUCUGCAUUUCCAUUGCAAGUUCUGUGCCAUUAAUGUCCAGCUGGCUGUCAUGGGUCAGAGUAGUACUCAGGGCUGUAGCAGCUCUUCUUUUUGUAAGUUGUGGAAAUUGAGGAGUACUCCAAACUUGUCAUUCACCUCUCCAAGGCUCUGAAAUCUCUCAUCAAGUGAAGAGAUGGCUGUAU